UACGAAGGGGGCGAGCGUUGUUCGGAUUUACUGGGCGUAAAGGGCGCGCAGGCGGCUCAUUUUGUCAGGCGUGAAAGCCCCGGGCUUAACCUGGGAACUGCGUUUGAUACGGAUGGGCUAGAGUUCGGGAGAGGAGAGUGGAAUUCCCAGUGUAGAGGUGAAAUUCGUAGAUAUUGGGAAGAACACCGGUGGCGAAGGCGGCGACCUGGUCCAUUACUGACGCUGAGGCGCGACAGCGUGGGGAGCAAACAGG
rnacentral:rRNA from 1 species